rnacentral:rRNA from 1 species
UGACGGUACCUAGAUAAGAAGCACCGGCUAACUACGUGCCAGCAGCCGCGGUAAUACGUAGGGUGCAAGCGUUGUCCGGAAUUAUUGGGCGUAAAGAGCUCGUAGGCGGUUUGUCGCGUCUGCUGUGAAAACCCGAGGCUCAACCUCGGGCCUGCAGUGGGUACGGGCAAACUAGAGUGCGGUAGGGGAGAUUGGAAUUCCUGGUGUAGCGGUGGAAUGCGCAGAUAUCAGGAGGAACACCGAUGGCGAAGGCAGGUUACUGGGCAGUUACUGACGCUGAGGAGCGAAAGCAUGGGUAGCGAACAGGAUUAGAUACCCUGGUAGUCCACGCUGUAAA